rnacentral:rRNA from 1 species
UACAGAGGGUGCGAGCGUUAAUCGGAAUUACUGGGCGUAAAGCGCACGUAGGCGGCUUGGUAUGUCGGGUGUGAAAUCCCCGGGCUCAACCUGGGAACUGCAUCCGAAACUGCCUUGCUAGAGUAUGGGAGAGGGAAGUGGAAUUUCCGGUGUAGCGGUGAAAUGCGUAGAUAUCGGAAGGAACACCGGUGGUGUAGACGGCUUUCUGGACCGUAACUGACGCUGAGACACGAAAGCGUGGGUAGCAAACAGG